GACGAACGCUGGCGGCGUGCUUAACACAUGCCAGUCGAACGGAAAGGCCCUGCUUGCAGGGUGCUCGAGUGGCGAACGGGUGAGUAACACGUGGGUGAUCUGCCCCUUACUUUGGGAUAAGCCUGGGAAACUGGGUCUAAUACUGGAUAGGACCAUGCUGUAGGUGGUGUGGUGGAAAGAUUUUUUCGGUAAGGGAUGAGCUCGCGGCCUAUCAGCUUGUUGGUGGGGUAAUGGCCUACCAAGGCGUCGACGGGUAGCCGGCCUGAGAGGGUGGACGGCCACAUUGGGACUGAGAUACGGCCCAGACUCCUACGGGAGGCAGCAGUGGGGAAUAUUGCACAAUGGGCGCAAGCCUGAUGCAGCGACGCCGCGUGGGGGAUGACGGCCUUCGGGUUGUAAACGCCUUUCAGCCAUGACGAAGCCUCUUUUGGGGUGACGGUAGUGGUAGAAGAAGCACCGGCUAACUACGUG
rnacentral:rRNA from 1 species